ACCCCCAUGCAGCGAGUUAAGAGUUACUUAAAGGGGGUACAGCCCCUUUAAAAAAGGACACACCCUCCACUAGCGGAUAACACCCCUCCACUUUAACCCGUGGGCCUUAAAGCAGCCACCCCAAAAGAAUGCGUCAAAGCUCCCAACCAAAAAUUUAAAAACAACACGAUUCCCUACACCCUUAGCCGGCUAACCUAUAACAAUAGAUGAACCAAUGCUAGAACGAGUAACCAGGAUACCUUCCCCUCAAGCGCUAGCCUACAUACCAUUAACAGCCCAACAUCAAUACCCAACCCCCACAAGACCAACCAUUGAACACACCCUGUUAACCCAACCCAGGAGCGCACACUAGGAUGAUUAAAAUCUACAAAAGGAACUCGGCAAACCCAAGACCCGMCUGUUUAYCAAAAACAUAGCCUUCAGCCAAACAAGUAUUGAAGGUGAUGCCUGCCCAGUGACACUACGUUCAACGGCCGCGGGUAUCCUAACCGUGCAAAGGUAGCGCAAUCAAUUGUCCCAUAAAUCGAGACUUGUAUGAACGGCUAAACGAGGUCUUAACUGUCUCCUGUAGAUAAUCAGUGAAACUGAUCUCCCUGUGCAAAAGCAGGAAUAAGUACAUAAGACGAGAAGACCCUGUGGAACUUUAGAAUUAAUAGCCACCACACACCCAACCCUAUACCCAUCAGGUCCACCACCCAAAACACUGGCCAAUAUUCUUAGAUUGGGGCGAUCUUGGAGAAAAACAAACCCUCCAAAAACAAGGCCAAACCCCUUAGCCAAGAGCAACCCCUCAACGCGCUAACAGCCCCCAGACCCAAUAAAAUUGACUAAUGGACCAAGCUACCCCAGGGAUAACAGCGCAAUCUCCCCCAAGAGCCCCUAUCGACGAGGAGGUUUACGACCUCGAUGUUGGAUCA
rnacentral:rRNA from 1 species